GCCGAGAUCGCAUAGCCCGGUAGUGCGGUGGAUUCGAAAUCCACUGUCGUCAGACUCGGGGGUUCGAAUCCCUCUCUCGGCGCCA
rnacentral:tRNA from 1 species